rnacentral:lncRNA from 13 species
CAGGAAUCUGGGGACAUGAGCAUUUUAAAAUUCCAGUUUUUUUGAAGGCAUAUCAUGUUAAAAAAAAAACUUCAGAAAAUGCAAUGCAUUAGAAUCCGUACAUAUUUGUAGAUUUUGUAGAUUGUAUAGAGUGGCUAUUCUUAAUUGUGGCUGAUCGCAAUACAGGCAUAUCAUAGAGGAUCAGUAAAUAAAUUUCAGAUGAACAGAUGGACAAAUUAACUUGGUGAAGCCAAUGUCAGUUCCAGUUCUUGCCAAAUAAUAGUAUCUAAUAUUCACUGACAGAUGAUUAUAUGCCAAGUAUAGUCUAAAUGUGCAGAAGGCCCUUAUUUGUUUAACUCUCAAACAACGCUAGGAGCUAAGGACCAUUUUUAACCUUUAUUUUUCACAUGAGAAUCCUGAGGACCAGGAAUAGGAACUUGCUCAAAGGAUUCCAUACCACCUUGUUCUUCACCAGAGUCAGGCUGGAAAAAUGCAAGACCGUCCUUUCACAGAAUGAUUGGUGGGUACUUGCCUUAGACCUACUUAACCGAAGAAUUAUUCAAGGACUUCUUGAAAAACCAUAGAGGGUGAUUUUAUGAUAAAAGGCUGACAGUGUCUCUGGGACAGACCUGAGUACCAGGAUUAGACAUGGAGGACGUUGGUGAAGUAUCUGCAUCUGCUGAUGCUACGACAGCAGCACAUCAGCUCAUUCCCCAGGUAUCAGGAACCAUGGAAGGUGUGAGAGAGGAGGCUGGGAACGUUUUUGUCCUUGGUCGGGUCACAGUGCUCCUGUAAAUCUUUAACAAAACAUAAUAAGUUGUUGACAUACUUCCCCUUUAAUCCCAGAGUUAGAUUUACAAAAUAUUUAAUUGCUGUUUUUGCAUAUUAUCUCAGUGCUCUAAAAUUAUCCUAGCUGACCUGAAGGACUGGGUAAAGACCCCUUAAAUAAGAAUGAAAUUAGUUAUGUUAGUUCUUUUGCUGUUUCACUGCUUUAAUUCCCAACUGUCAAAGGCUCAUUCCACAGUCUUAUGGGAUUAGGGACAAUGGGAUGUCAUCUCUCAGCUGGCUACUUGCUGCUGAACAGGGUCAAUGUGGGGCAACUGUGGAAUGAAACGUUUUGGCCUGGCAGCGAGCUGAUGUUCAGG